UCAGAAGAAAGGCUUCAACCCCUCAUCACUAACCCCCAAAGCUAGCAUUUUAAUUAAACUACCUUCUG
rnacentral:tRNA from 1 species